UAUGAGGUCGGCUCUUUAAAUAAAUAUAGAUAAUAUUUUUUAUUACUACUAUGAUUAUUAUUAAAUUUUGAUCUUUUUAUACUAAAUAGUGUAUCGUGCCGCUAUAGCCGCUCAUAGUACAAUAUGUGAAUGACCAAAAGGAAAAUUAUUAAAAUGCCAAAAUCCAUGAUAAUAAGAGACAAGCGAUUGAGCAGUACAUGAAUUUAGCAUUUCAUGCAUAUGAAAUUCCACAAUGGCUUAAAGAUUCAAAGGCUUUUAUUGUAAUAAUUCAGUAUUGAUACACCCGAAGAACCAGACUUUGGUUUAAUGGGAAUCAAAACAGGUUCUUCCAAUCCAACACACUGAAAAUCACAUUCAAUAGAUAAUCCG
rnacentral:lncRNA from 1 species